GACGAACGCUGGCGGUGUGCUUAACACAUGCAAGUCGAACGGUAAGGCCCUUUCGGGGGUACACGAGUGGCGAACGGGUGCGUAACACGUGAGUAACCUGCCCUCAUCUCUGGGAUAACAGUCGGAAACGGUUGCUAAUACUGGAUAUGAGCUUGCAAGGCAUCUUGUGGGUUGGAAAGAUUUUUUUUGGUUGGGGAUGGACUCGCGGCCUAUCAGCUUGUUGGUGAGGUAGUGGCUCACCAAGGCUUCGACGGGUAGCCGGCCUGAGAGGGCGACCGGCCACAUUGGGACUGAGAUACGGCCCAAACUCCUACGGGAGGCAGCAGUGGGGAAUAUUGCACAAUGGACGGAAGUCUGAUGCAGCAACGCCGCGUGCGGGAUGACGGCCUUCGGGUUGUAAACCGCUUUCAAUUGUGACGAAGCUUUUUUGUGACGGUAGCAGUAGAAGAAGCACCGGCUAACUACGU
rnacentral:rRNA from 1 species